UACGUAGGGUGCAAGCGUUAUCCGGAAUUAUUGGGCGUAAAGAGCUCGUAGGCGGUUUGUCGCGUCUGCUGUGAAAACUGGGGGCUCAACCCCCAGCCUGCAGUGGGUACGGGCAGACUAGAGUGCGGUAGGGGAGAUUGGAAUUCCUGGUGUAGCGGUGGAAUGCGCAGAUAUCAGGAGGAACACCGAUGGCGAAGGCAGAUCUCUGGGCCGUAACUGACGCUGAGGAGCGAAAGUGUGGGGAGCGAACAGG
rnacentral:rRNA from 1 species